CCUGUCCCAAGGGCAUUGCAUGUGUGGCCACUAUGUUACAUGCUCAUCAGUAGGGGGCAGAGGGGAGAAAGGCUGUGUCUAGGCCCAGUGUCCUGACCUGUGAACGUCUGAAUGAUUGGUAGUCUAACAUU